rnacentral:rRNA from 1 species
UGGGGAAUUUUGGACAAUGGGCGAAAGCCUGAUCCAGCCAUCCCGCGUGUGCGAUGAAGGCCUUCGGGUUGUAAAGCACUUUUGGCAGGAAAGAAACGUCGCGGGUUAAUACCCCGCGGAACUGACGGUACCUGCAGAAUAAGCACCGGCUAACUACGUGCCAGCAGCCGCGGUAAUACGUAGGGUGCAAGCGUUAAUCGGAAUUACUGGGCGUAAAGCGUGCGCAGGCGGUUCGGAAAGAAAGAUGUGAAAUCCCAGAGCUUAACUUUGGAACUGCAUUUUUAACUACCGGGCUAGAGUGUGUCAGAGGGAGGUGGAAUUCCGCGUGUAGCAGUGAAAUGCGUAGAUAUGCGGAGGAACACCGAUGGCGAGGGCAGCCUCCUGGGAUAACACUGACGCUCAUGCACGAAAGCGUGGGGAGCAAACAGGAUUAGAUACCCUGGUAGUCCACGCCCUAAACGAUGUCAACUAGCUGUUGGGGUCUUCGGACCUUGGUAGCGCAGCUAACGCGUGAAGUUGACCGCCUGGGGAGUACGGUCGCAAG